UACGUAGGGUGCGAGCGUUGUCCGGAAUUAUUGGGCGUAAAGGGCUCGUAGGCGGUUUGUCGCGUCGGGAGUGAAAACCUCGGGCUUAACUCGGGGCUUGCUUUCGAUACGGGCAGACUGGAGGUAUGCAGGGGAGAACGGAAUUCCUGGUGUAGCGGUGAAAUGCGUAGAUAUUGGGAGGAACACCAGUGGCGAAGGCGGCUCACUGGACUGGUACUGACGCUGAGGCGCGAAAGCGUGGGGAGCAAACGGG
rnacentral:rRNA from 1 species